AUUUGGGUGAAUCUCUCGUGUACACAGUGAGAGUUGUUAUUUAAGUUAGAUGAGGGUUGGACGUUUGCCAGCGUGUCCUCACAGAGGAAAGUGACGCAUUAGAAGAUCGUCCUCUGUAUCUCAGAGACACAAUCAUGCCGAAGACCUGGAUCAUAACUCACUCCAUUAUUUGUGUAGAAAUGACACUGACCUGGUGAAGAAAGAACAUUUUAUUACUAUGUAGUUUAUAUAACCGGGGGAUUCCAGAAAGCAGGUCAUGUGACUUACCUGGUCUGUUUCAGAGAGCUGAUGGAGCAUGGCAUGACCUUUCACAGAAGAUCCAGCACGGAUUAUACCGAAUCUUUUUCAUACCCAGAUGAAUAUUUUAGGAGUGUUACCAUUUCUAAUGUGAAAUGAAAACAUCGCCAACGUGACACAUCUUGGAUCAGCACUUAACCCAGAGUACAUUGCCCUUUGUUUUGUUUUGCCAGAGGGAGUUUUCUGUAUAACGUGGGUGAUCUACAGCAUGUGGAGAAGGUAACUGUGUGUAGACGUGUGCUUACAGUGCAGCCUUGUACUCAAACAGUGCUGUUGAGAUCUGCUAAAAUAACUUCUAAUUAAAUGACUAAUGCACAAAGUCAACAGUUGAGUAACGCUCAUUGUUUCUUUAUUUCCUGUAAACGAAAAAGACUUUUAAUUAAUUGCUUUACCAUUCAACAAUGAUUGAGACAAUAAUAGUAAUAAUAAUAAUAAUAUUGAAUAGAUUUUUUCAAGGCGGUUGGCUUCAGGGAAUAAAGAUCAGUGAUAUUAGAGAGCAAUAUGAUGUGCACUGUGGUGUCAGGGUUUUUUUUUUUUCUUUCCAGAAAGGAAUCAUAUUGAUUGGUGCAUCUGAGAACAGGACACAGGACAGAAGAAACCACAUUUAUAUAUAAAACCCACAACUAUUUAAACUGAUACGUGAAUAAUACACCGUAGCUUUUAAUUUGUGUUUGUUAGAAUUAUUGAUGUUAAAACUGUGUACAGGAAAUGACAUCAUGAACCGGUUUGAAAAGCAGGACCGAAUGUUCUUUAACUGUUGAAAUAUUAAAUGAUGUAAUAAUAAAGACACUACAUGUAAUUAUUCAGUGUAGUUAUUAAAUCAACAACACCACGACCACUUCUACUUCCACUCUUUCCACUGCAGAAUAAAUAAAAUAAAUAAAUAAAACAGGGACGGUAAACUCUACAGUAGUUUCAGUGUAUAAACAAUGCAAUAAACUUUAGAGAGUUUAC
ensembl:lncRNA